UUUGACAUGUACGGAAUUCGCCAGAGAUGGCUUAGUGCUCGAAAGAGAACCGUAACACAGGUGCUGCACGGCUGUCGUCAGCUCGUGUCGUGAGAUGUUGGGUUAAGUCCCGCAACGAGCGCAACCCUUGUCAUUAGUUGCUACAUACAGUUGGGCACUCUAAUGAGACUGCCGGUGACAAACCGGAGGAAGGUGGGGAUGACGUCAAGUCCUCAUGGCCCUUAUAGGUGG
rnacentral:rRNA from 1 species